GGGGCUGACAUGGAUUUGACAGUGAGUAAUUUGGAUUGUAAGCAUGUCGGGCAAAGUACAUUAUCCCGUAAAAAUAUAGUGCAAAACUAUUAAUUGGCGAAAAUAACUACGCUCUUGCUGCUUAAUUUUCACUCAGUGAUUUAAGCUUAAUCCUGCACGGAAUGUACAGGACGGGACAUCUGGCGGAUGGUUUGCUCAAUACCGGUUCGAUUCCCAGGUGCAGUUAAAUUUGAGAUAGUUCAGACAGAGCUUUGAUGUUUGAGCAAAACUUAAAAAGCUAAGGAUUAGAUCGGGUGCUUUUUCCCACUCUAAUUUCGAAAACUAAUAAAAAGAUAAGCAUGUAGAAAGCACUUUGGAUGCUUGUUUGGACCGGGGUUCGACUCCCCGCAGCUCCACAA
rnacentral:tmRNA from 1 species